rnacentral:rRNA from 1 species
GACGAACGCUGGCGGCGUGCUUAACACAUGCAAGUCGAACGGAAAGGCCCUGCUUUUGUGGGGUGCUCGAGUGGCGAACGGGUGAGUAACACGUGAGUAACCUGCCCUUGACUUUGGGAUAACUUCAGGAAACUGGGGCUAAUACCGGAUAGGAGCUCCUGCUGCAUGGUGGGGGUUGGAAAGUUUCGGCGGUUGGGGAUGGACUCGCGGCUUAUCAGCUUGUUGGUGGGGUAGUGGCUUACCAAGGCUUUGACGGGUAGCCGGCCUGAGAGGGUGACCGGCCACAUUGGGACUGAGGUACGGCCCAGACGCCUACGGGAGGCAGCAGUGGAGAAUAUUGCAAAAUGGGCGGAAGCCUGAUGCAGCAACGCCGCGUGCGGGAUGAAGGCCUUCGGGUUGUAAACCGCUGUCGCCUGUGACGAAGCGUGAGUGACGGUAAUGGGUAAAGAAGCACCGGCUAACUACGUG